UGUCGAAGUACGUGAACGGCGCGCAGCGGUUCUCGCCCGCGGUCGAGGCGCGGCUCAAGGCCGCGAUCGACAA
rnacentral:tRNA from 1 species